UCAUAAACGACAUCGAUUAUAUCAUCUGAAUUCUACACAGGGAUAUAUCUCGGUAUAGUAUGGGAAGCGAAACACCUAUGCAUCCUUCACGGACUCCACUUCAUCCUUAUAUGACUCCAAUGCGGGACUCUGGAGCUACACCGAUCCAUGACGGUGUGAGGACACCCAUGCGUGAUCGAGCUUGGAAUCCUUACACGCCUAUGAGCCCACCUAGGUUCCUGCGGCUGAGUCUGUUCGUUUCGAAGACGCAGGACAUUGCCGCAGCCGCAGACGCGGAAAAUAGAUUUAGUUCUGUUAAUUUGGUUGCCGCAGACGCAAUUUUCUUUUAUUUCAUAUUUUAAUUUUAUGAAUUCGUAAAGUUGUAUUUUAAAUAAAUAAAAUGUAGAUUUAAAUUUGUAAAAUUGUAUUUUAAAUAAAUAAAAUGUAGAUUUAAAUUUGUAAAAUUGUAUUAUUUACAUUCAUCAAAAUAUUAUAUUUAAUUAGUAAUAAAUUUAACAACAUUUUUUUUAUCAUAAAUCAUUUUAUCACAAGCGUAUAUUCAUCUAUAAAAAUAUUAUUUACAUCUUUAAAAAUAUUAUAUUUAAUUGGUAAUAUAAUAAUAACUAAAUUAAGACAAAAACUAAUAUAUUAAAAUAUUUAUCACAAGGUCUACCUGUUGAGGAUCAAGUUGAUGUAAAAUAGCUUUUAAGAGUGUAUGUAAGACUAGCAAUUUCAUCAUAAUGUAAACUUAAUAUCUUUGUGAUGAAUCUAUAUGCACUUUCAUGUGGCAACAAAAGUUUAAAGCUUUUAGAUUUGUCAUUAAGAACCGAAUACAUGUGAUAAAAAGGAUGAACAGAGUGUACUUUACACGCAUGCCUUUAUGUAAAAAAACAACAUGAGGUGUAGCUUAUUUCAUUUGUGAAUGGAAAGAGUUAAAAGACAAAGAAGGAAUCUGAAUGUAAGAAAACAGGGGAAAGUCAUUGCAUGUAUUUUAGCUCUGUUUCUUCCCAGUGACACCAGCAAUAACCUGCAAAAAACCGCUUGAAGGAUUUAGUUUUGGCUAGACAUAACCAAGUACUAAACAAUGGGCUGACUAACAAGUCAAUUUUAUGCCCAAUCCUUGGUUUUGAAAGCAAUAAAACGUGAUAGUACAUGAGGGAAAGCAUAUAAAUUUACAGAGACACAUAAAUGAACAAGUAAAAUCACAAGAAUAAGAAGCAAAGCGAGGAAAAGCAAAAGCAUGGAGAUAAGUGUUAUGUACAACACACAAUAACAAAAAUACAGAACUUGGAAACAUAAAAACAAACGAAGAAAAUUUGCAAACACAAAGUAUAUAAGAAGGAGGGGCUUUAACUUGUUUGGAAGCCUCAAGUGAAUGUAAGAUAGGCCUUACAACAGCAGGCAGAAAGAGUCCUACAAACAAGAUGAGAAGAGAAACAGAACAUGUCACACAAGCAAACUCUUCACACACCAAAACUCAAGUUACUUAGACAAAUGCAGUCAGUAGAAAGAAUCCAGUAACAUAUAAAUAGGGAAAAGAGGGUACCUUUACUCCUGCCCACCAGUCAACAGUCCAGACAAGCUCUAGCCACAAGGUUUUGCAAGCACCCAGUUGAUUUUACGCCUCUCUUCAAGCACUUCUUUCCAAUAGCUGUGACAAAGUACAUAUCAAUACAGUAUCAGAGGGAACUGAUAGUUAUGAACAAAAGCAUCAGUAAACCAUCCCCAUCAGGCACAAACCCCUAUCCUAAAUGCUUUAGAACAAAGACCAUCACUAUCAGCUUCUUCUUGUCUUAGUUAUGAACUUGGAUCUUGGAUCCAAAACACACUCCAAAAAACUCAUAUGAAACACAAAAAUAGAGACAAGUGACAGUUACCUCAACUAUGCUUGAAACCCAAAUCGGAGGAGAAGAGAGAGCUCGUGCUGCGUCAGAGAGGAGAGAGCUCGAGGUCUUCGUCUGAGAUGGAGAUGAGAGAGCUCGAGGUCUACGUCGAAGAUGGAGAUGGAGAUGAGAGAGCUCGUGGCUGUGUGAGAUGGAGAUGAGAGAGCUCGAUGUCUGUAUCGGAGAUGGAGAUGGAGAAAGAUCGAGCAAGGUUGCGUCAAUUUGGAAAACAAGAUGCGGCUACGUCAAUUUAGGUUAGGUAUUUUUGUUAAUAUUGAAACAUAUUAAGGGCAAAAUAGUAAAUUACGUUAUCGGCCGCAUAAUUUACUUCGCAGCCGCGGGUUUUAUUGGCGUCAGCCGCAGGACGCGGCGUUCGGACGCAGGUCAGACGCAGCUUCUUGCGUCAAUCAAACGAACACGAAUUUUUCAAAACAUUGCCGCAGCCGCAGACGCAGGUAGCUGCGGCAACCAAACGAACAGCACUGUUGUCUGUUAUGUUACACAAACAUGGCCUCUGUUUCAAUAUUUACAGAAAUUCUUAACGCAUUUAUAAGAUUGGUGAAUCCGGAUCGAAGAAUAAACUUUUUGAAAUCUCAUAUUAUUGGUUGUUAUGACAUAAGGGAUAACUGGGAAGAAGGAAAUCCAGGAUCGCGGGGAACGAGUCCUCAAUAUCAAGUAAGAGUUAUACAUCUAUUGUUUUUGCUUUCAGCCUUACUAUUGUUGGUGAUAUGCGUAGUUUUGUGCUGAUUGUGAGUUAAAAUUGUUUGCUUGGCACUUGUUCCAGCCGGGAAGUCCUCCUUCACGGGCAUAUGAAGCACCGACUCCUGGCUCAGGAUGGGCUAGUACUCCCGGUGGUAGUUACUCAGAUGCAGGGAUGCCCAGAGAUCAUAGUUCGGCCUAUGGUAAGAUUCAUAUAAUCUUUUACAAAACAUCGACUGUGUUUGCUUAGCCAGUAUUUUUCUCACAUAUCUUGUCAUGCAGCUAAUGCCCCAAGUCCAUACAUACAAUCUACACCUGGACAACCCAUGACACCAAGCUCAACUUCAUACUUACCUGGAACUCCCGGAGGACAACCAAUGACUCCUGGAACUGGCCUCGAUGUCAUGUCUCCUGUUAUAGGUGGAGAUGCUGAAGCAUGGUUCAUGCCUGAUAUUUUGGUUGA